AAAAUUUUUUUAUAUUUGGAUUAUGAUUUGCAGCGGUUAGCCAUUCAACUAACCGACAGUGAUGCUUCUUAAGUUUGAAAUUGAAGAGGCUCCCCUAGCUGCAUGUUCGGAUCUAGCUUUAAUAAUUUGUAAUAUUAUUUGGACAUCAUUGAAGAUGGGUCGAACUGAUCCGAAACGUCCGAUUUCAUCAUGUUUGCUGUUGCGUGCCAAAUUGUAAAAAUUCAGCGGCUCUAAGGGAUUUCUUAUGAAACAUUUUACAAGAAAUCCAGACAAAAGGGCUUAAUGGGUUGUAAAUAUUCCACGAGCGAAUUGAAUACUCACGGAUUCUAGCUGUAUUUAUGAGGUAUGAUACUUACAUUUACUUAACAGCCAACUUCC